UUGUCAUUUCCAAGCGGUUCACAUCGGUUCUCUUUGGCACUCUUCAGAUUCCAAGCGGAACCGCAGUUCACUUCGUUUGGCUACACACAUUUUUUGUUUUCAUUUUCUGGCAUUUCCCACCAUGAUGUUUGCUUUUUGUUUCGGGAAUUUUGUUUCAGAUGAGUUGGGCAGGGUACAUAUUUGUGAGUUCCUCGGGAGUAGAUCACAGUUAUAUCUAGUUAGGUCGCGGCCCCGGAUACAAGCUCGGUCAUCCGGGAGGGGCCCAGCGUCGAGCCGCUGCUCGUCCACAUUGAGACGAGCCAGAUGUGGUGGAUCUGAUUCGGAUCCCUCCCGGACGCGUCCCCGGCGAGGUGUUCUGGGCACGUCCCGCCGGGAGGAGACCCCCGACCCCCGACCCUUCUAAAGACCCCACCUCGGGGAAGCAGUAGAAAACGGAUGGACGGAGCUCCCCUUUCGUCAGAAUCAGCUUUAACGGCCAAGUAUGGAAACGACACACGAGGAAUUUGUCUCCUGCGAAGUAAGUCAACUAACAGUACAAUUCAAUAAAUGUACUUGCAGUAUUUUGUAAAGGUGACCUGCUAAAUUAUCAAUACUGUCAUCAAAUGCGUGUAACACAUAAACCUUUCUGUUUUGUGCAAUUUUGGAAGCAUUUUGAUCAUUGCUGUCAAUCUACCACCAGUGCCAAUCUAUUUAUAUUCAUAAAGAGUUGAACACCUGUGGGCUGGAUAUAUUUGGAUGUCACCUGAUAUCGUGCCGCGGCCCCCGCUGCGCCCAUAAAAUGGACGUGAAUAGAAACAAUGAGGGGCACGGUGGACUCAGCUGGUAAAGCGUUGGCCUCACAGUUCUGAGGACCCGGGUUCGAUCCCGGCCCCGCCUGUGUGGAGUUUGCAUGUUCUGCACGUGCCUGUGUGGAUUUCCGACCGCAUCCGAAAAACAUGCAACAUGAAUUGAACACUCUAAAUUGCCACUCGAUGUGAUUGUGCGUGCGGCUGUUUGCGAUUGGCCGGCGACCAGUUCAGGGUGUACCCGGCCUCCUGCCCGCUGACAGCUGGGAUAGGCUCCUGCACGCCCCGCGACCCUCUUGAGGAUAGGCAGCAAAGAAACUGGACGGAUGGAUGAGAAACGACGGGAGAAGGCCUCGUACAACCUGCUGCUCAUUUUCUCUCCCGCGUGUUUGAUCUUCGCUGAGCUCGUCAACCUUUCCUGUGCAGGUGCGCAAGCGACCUACGUGAAGUCCGGCGUUGAGGGUUUUUCGGCGGCUUCUUGGCGGGACCCCCGCUUAGCCGGCAACACUAAAACUUUUUACUAUGUGCCAGGAGUCGAUUCCGGGCGUCUCUGCCAAGAGUCGUCCAGAUGUUUCUCCUUGCAUCUGUUUCAGCAACACAUACACA